UUGCUGAGCAGAGAUUGAUGCAGCAGAAGGCCCUCAGACAUCCGGACCAAACUGGUCUCCUGAAAUUUAGAAUGUUCUGACAAGAGAAGAACGGGGGAGACGGGAAUGCCAAUUCUUUCUGCCACCAACUUAAACUCGCCUUUUGUCGAGUUGAGCUGAAAUGCCUGCUCCAACAGAGAAAGCAAACAUCAGUAUGUGUAGAACGACAACAGAUGCAAUAUUACUGAAAAACAGUAUUAUUCUUACACGAUUUUAAGAGUUUACUAUGAACUCUAGCUGUCAGUUUAUUCAAGGAUUAUUCUUUAGACAAAAGCUGACGCAGAAAGUUUACAUUUCAAUAAUGUCUAUGCUAUUCUAUCUUACAAAGCACCGUAUGAUAGGCUACUGGCUAUCAUUUUGUAUAAAGGGACAUUGAUCUACAGGUGGCAAGAUAGGGCUACAAUAAACCAACCUGCAUCAUUCUUGCACAUUGGCCCUUUAAAAACGAAUAGCAUGUAAACUAGGCUUCUGACUAUCACUUUGUAUAAAGGGACAUCGUUUGACUACAGGACAGAAUAUAGAGAUAAACCAAUCAGCAUUUACCUUGCAUCACCCUUUAAAACACAUGUAGCCUUUAAACGGGUUGCUGUUUCUGCAAGGUGGGGGGCCAAAUCGAGAGGCUUCCAGCGAUUACUAAACCGAAAUCUAUCCUACGAAACGAUCUGCCCUUGUUGAAAUAUCAUAUUUUCUCGUAAGCAACAAGCUAUUUAUAAGUUCAAAGCAAGCUCAUUUGAGCAAAUGCCUUCAAGGGUUAAAGCAGUUUCAUGCGCAAUAGAAAAAUGAACAUCACUCCAAGACCACGAAUCGUUACCUUUGAGGUGAGGCAUGCGUUGUGCGUCUCGGGAAUGGCGUGGACGAUUUUCCUCAGUAUACUGAGGCUGAUGUCGACGUUGUUGUAAAAAUCUGUAUCCACAAGUGAUCUGAAGUUAUCCCCGGAUAACCCUGGAAGAGGUGCGCUCCGAACCAAGGACGCCAUGUAGAGCGGAAGGGCGAAAACUGUGUGGUGGUGAUAAAACACGUAUAAACAACUCAACUCGGUCUUUGAUUCCGAG